ACAUAUCAAUAAGCGGAGGAAAAGAAACCAACAGGGAUUGCCCCAGUAACGGCGAGUGAAGCGGCAACAGCUCAAAUUUGAAAUCUGGCCUCGGCCCGAGUUGUAAUUUGCAGAGGAUGCUUCUGGCGCGGCGCCUUCCGAGUUCCCUGGAACGGGACGCCACAGAGGGUGAGAGCCCCGUAUGGUCGGACGCCAAGCCAGUGUGAAGCUCCUUCGAAGAGUCGAGUAGUUUGGGAAUGCUGCUCUAAGCGGGAGGUAUACGUCUUCUAAAGCUAAAUACCGGCCAGAGACCGAUAGCGCACAAGUAGAGUGAUCGAAAGAUGAAAAGCACCUUGAAAAGGGGGUUAAACAGUACGUGAAAUUGUUGAAAGGGAAGCGCCUGUGACCAGACUUGCGCCGGGCGGAUCAUCCAGCGUUCUCGCUGGUGCGCUCCGCCCGGCUCAGGCCAGCAUCGGUUCUGGCGGGGGGAUAAAGGCGGCGGGAACGUGGCUCCCCCGGGAGUGUUAUAGCCCGCCGUGCAAUGCCCCCGCCGGGACCGAGGUUCGCGCAUCUGCAAGGAUGCUGGCGUAAUGGUCACCAGCGACCCGUCUUGAAACACGGACCAAGGAGUCGUCCAUUACGGCGAGCGUUUGGGUGUAAAACCCCUGCGCGGAAUGAAAGUAAACGUAGGUGAGAGCUUCGGCGCAUCAUCGACCGAUCCUGAUGUACUCGGAUGGAUUUGAGUAAGAGUCGUACCGGACGGACCCGAAAGAUGGUGAACUAUGCCUGUAUAGGGUGAAGCCAGAGGAAACUCUGGUGGAGGCUCGCAGCGGUUCUGACGUGCAAAUCGAUCGUCAAAUAUGGGCAUGGGGGGCGAAAGACUAAUCGAACCAUCUAGUAGCUGGUACCGC
rnacentral:rRNA from 1 species